ensembl:snRNA U6 U6 spliceosomal RNA
GUGCGCGCUUCGGCAGCACAUAGACUAAAAUUGGAAGGAUACAGAGGAGAUUUGCAUGGUCCCUGGCAAGGAUGACA